UGGGUGAUCUGCCCUGCACUCUGGGAUAAGCCUGGGAAACUGGGUCUAAUACCGGAUAGGACUACGGGCUGCAUGGUCUGUGGUGGAAAGCUUUUGCGGUGUGGGAUGGGCCCGCGGCCUAUCAGCUUGUUGGUGGGGUGAUGGCCUACCAAGGCGACGACGGGUAGCCGGCCUGAGAGGGUGACCGGCCACACGUGGGACUGAGAUACGGCCCAGACUCCGUACGGGAGCA
rnacentral:rRNA from 1 species